UGUGGAAAGCAUCUUAGCUGUAAACCA
rnacentral:piRNA from 1 species